GACGGGGGAUGCAAGUGUCAUCCGGAAUCACUGGGCGUAAAGCGUCUGCAGGUGGUUUCCUAAGUCCACUGUUAAACCUUGAGGCUCAACCUCAAAUCUGCAUUGGAAACUAGGAGACUUGAGUAUAGUAGGGGUAGAGGGAAUUUCCAGUGGAGCGGUGAAAUGCGUAGAUAUUGGAAAGAACACCGAUGGCGAAGGCACUCUACUGGGCUAUUACUGACACUCAGAGACGAAAGCUAGGGGAGCAAAUGGG
rnacentral:rRNA from 1 species